ensembl:lncRNA
CAGAAGCACUAGCGGCUUACGUGGACGUCACCGGCCGGAAGUGAAUGAAACAGUCUCACGCUAAACACGCAGCGUAGAGGGUCACAUUGGAAGCACGUUAGUGUUUCAUAAAAAUAAACAAUCUAGUAACUAAUUACAGUAACUGAGGUGUAAAUGGAUCUGUCUUAACCAGGUACAGGAUUUUUUGUUAUUCCGCUUUUAUGAAUGCGUGUAAAACUACCACAACACUACAGACUUCUGUUCACAAAUCACUAUAUGUGCUGAUACAGGCAUGUUUUAUAAUGUUUCGUGUCAUAAAAAGCGUGUAUAGGUUUUUGAUCACACACGGUGGCACCAGGAGUCGUUUUGAAUGAAUCAGAAUCAACAUGAAUGAACUAAAUGACUCGGUCAGAUUGAAUCGCUGCUGAAUCUCACCGUGUUUGUGUUUGUUAGCGUGUGACUGAAUGAAUGAAUGAGUGUUUGAUUGAUAUGAAUGCCUCCACAGAGGAGGUGUACACGUGGAGAGAGAUGAGCUCAGCGUGUGCAGGCCGCCCGUGACAUCAUCUCAUCCUCAGAGAGUUAAACUCACACAUGAUGACAGACAGGGAACGGGGUCUGCUGUCUACCUGGGCAGCAUCACCUGGAGUGCACACUGUUUAUCAGGAUCCUGUGUUCUUCGAGGAGUGCAAGCAGGAGUAUCUCAGAGAGGAACACGAAUACGAAGAGAGGGAUUCCAGCCAAGAACAGACAGCAGAAGCUUCCCACCAGCGUGUGAUGAAGAACACCGCAGUGAGGAGGAGGAGGAUGGACCAUGAAACUCAUUUCUGGCUGUUUUUGGAGACGCUGUUGUCUCUGAUGGACGUUCUCUGUAUCUGUUGCAUUGCUGCGGUUUAUAUUCAUGAUUAGCUCUUACCCACCAAAAGCCUAAUAGAAAUUCAUAGAGAAUGUAUUUGAAUCACAUCAGAUGUGUAUCGUCCCAGCGACCCCCGGGAAUUACUGCCACAGAACCUGCUUUUGAUUGUUUGUUUUAAAACAACCUCAGAGUUAUUCAUGACGCUCAUGUUCGGAUGGAUUUUCAAUCAGUCUGUGCUUCAAAUUCAGGAAGUUGUUCAAUUAGAACCUCCAGGAAUGAUUGUUCAAUUUCUGUAAUUAAGUGUCUGUAAUUGUUUGUAGCACUGUAGCAACAUAAAAAAAAAGCAAAAUAUAAUAUAAAUAGCUAGUGAUAUUGUGUACUUGUAAUAAUAUAUACAGCACAGGUCAAAAGUUUGGAAACAUUACUAUUUUUAAUGUUUUUGAAAGAAGUCUCUUCUGCUCAUCAAGCCUGCAUUUAUUUGAUCAAAAAUACAGAAAAAACUGUAAUAUUGUGAAAUAUUAUUACAACUUAAAAUAAUAGUUGUCUAUUUGAAUAUACUUUAAAAAAUAAUUUAUUCCUGUGAUGCAAAGCUGAAUUUUCAGCAUCAUUACUCCAGCCUUCAGUGUCACAUGUAACAUCCAGUCUAUCACAUGAUCAUUUAGAAAUCAUUCUAAUAUUCUGAUUUAUUAUGAGUGUUGGAAACAGUUCUGCUGUCUAAUAUAUUUGAUGAAUAAAAGGUUAAAAAGAACUGCA